GCUCCAUAUUUCUAACAAUUAUCAUAGAAGGUGGUUUUGAUGCGCAUUUAAUUCUCACAUUUCAGCCACUAUCCUAUUUGUCUGUAGCUUGCUUUGUAGUUUCAAUUGCCAUGAUGCUCUCUCUCUCAAACUCUUAACUGAAACUACUACUCUCGAAUACACAAGAACCAUAAGAAAUGACAAUCCCAGAAAAAAAACAACCCAAAACAACACCACAAAAUGACCUCUAACUGGUGCUUUACUCCUAUUCUCUUACUACCUCAUCAUAAUGAUAACAUGUUAC
rnacentral:lncRNA from 1 species